UAUUCUGUCUAUGGCUCGCAGUUCCAGGCCCACUGGGUCCUACUGAGGACCAACAUCUUCAGUUGCACCUCACAAAUAUAUCCUUUUUUAAACAACAUAUCAGUAAUUUCCUAAAAUAGAUGGUCACACUUUAGUUUUUAAUCAAACGUUACUCAAACGGGAGGAAGUAGUGCAUUUGUUGGGGACUACUUUCAGCGGUGGAUUAAUCCACAUUGGAUCACAAGUUGACAUU